rnacentral:rRNA from 1 species
UACAGAGGUCUCAAGCGUUGUUCGGAUUCAUUGGCGUAAAGGGUGCGUAGGCGGCGCGGUAAGUCGGGUGUGAAAUCUCGGAGCUUAACUUCGAAACUGCAUUCGAUACUGCCGUGCUUGAGGACUGGAGAGGAGACUGGAAUUUACGGUGUAGCGGUGAAUGCGUAGAUAUCGUAAGGAAGACCAGUGGCGAAGGCGGGUCUCUGGACAGUUCCUGACGCUGAGGCACGAAGGCCAGGGGAGCAAACGGG